AAGACUCAGAAGAUCUCCAAACUUCUUAAUAAGCGAUUUUCAACACCGGUCUGGAUAAAGCACAAGGAACCACGGGAAGUUAACAUGUUUGUUGAUCUACUUCUCCUAGAGUUCAAUGGUGUAGUAUCUGAAGUCAAGCAGAUCUUGCCUGGUUUAAUUCGACGACAUCGGCAUUCUGAUAGCACUGGCAGCACCACUUCCUC